GCACGCACCCUCGGGAUGCAUGCUGAGCCCCCCGGGAUGGCGGUCGCCUGGGCCUCCUGUGCUGUCAGCCGACACCGAGGCAUCAUCCACAAGUGUCCGCCAGCUCACCCCCGCCGGGGGAGGCAAGGUGGACAGGUCUGAUUCCAGAUCUCAUCUUGGAAGAGUCCAUACGAAUUUGGUGUUUUUUUGUUUUUUUUUUUUAAAUACAAACAUCUAGCUAAAACAGAGAUGACUCCUGUGUCAUCAAAAUGCCUCCCGCACUGGGCCGCGGGCCUGAGACUUACCUGGAGAGGGGGGAGCACUCAGUGUGGUCUUUCUGCGUUGGGCUCCUGGAAACGAAGGUGGGCCUGUGACAAAGUGACAGUCCUGGGUGUCGGCUACAGGUGUGUGUU